rnacentral:lncRNA from 1 species
CCAGGCCCCAACUGUUGGACCCCCGACAACCAGGUCCCAACUGCCUGAUUCCGCCAACCAGGCCCCAACUGGUAGACCCCUGCUGACCAGGUCCCAACUGCGAGACCCAUGCAGAUGAAGGCCCAGCGUCCAGACCUCACUGCCUAGACCGCACUGAUCUGAUCCUCACUGACCAGGCCCCAACCGCCAGACCCCACCUACCAGGUCCCAGCUGCUGCAUCCCUGCCAAAUAACCCCCAGCUGCCGUAUCCCCUCUGACCAGGCCCCAACUGCUGGACCCCCUCCAAACAGGCCCCAACUAUAAGACCCCGCUGACCAGGCCCCAACUGCCAGACCCCCAUGGACGAGGCUGCAACUGCCAGAUCUCUGCUCACCAGGCCCCAACUGUGGGACCCCCGCUGGCCAGACCCCAACCAUGAGACCCUCGCCAAACACGCCCCAACUACUGGACUCUUGCUGGCCAGGCCCCAACCCCCAGGGCCUAGUCAGUCAGUGAGACCUGACUAGGUCUCACUGAUCAGAUCCCCGCUGACCUUGCCCCAGCUGCAGACCCCUAUUGACUGUGGGCGGAGGAUUACCCAGGUGCCGAGAGGGAAGGGCCCCCUGUGCUGUGAUCACGUGACUUGCUUCACCUUGUCAAUCACUUAGAAGAUUCACCCUCCUGACCCUACGCCCCUUGUCUUGUAUGCAAUAAAUAUCAGUGUGCCCAGCCAUUCAGGGCCACUACUGGUCUCCGCGUCUUGAUGGUAGUGGUCCCUCG